GAGGAGGAAGCCCCCGGCUAACUACGUGCCAGCAGCCGCGGUAAUACGUAGGGGGCAAGCGUUAUCCGGAAUCACUGGGCGUAAAGGGUGCGUAGGCGGUUUUUCAAGUCAGAAGUGAAAGGCUAUGGCUCAACCAUAGUAAGCUUUUGAAACUGUUAAACUUGAGUGCAGGAGAGGAAAGUGGAAUUCCUAGUGUAGAGGUGAAAUUCGUAGAUAUUAGGAGGAACACCAGUGGCGAAGGCGACUUUCUGGACUGUAACUGACGCUGAGGCACGAAAGCGUGGGGAGCGAACAGGAUUAGAUACCCUGGUAG
rnacentral:rRNA from 1 species